rnacentral:lncRNA from 1 species
GAUGAGUAACUUUAGUAAUUAAUACCUAAAAAUCAUUAGUUUAAUUUUAAAAAUGAGUAGACAUUUAGUCUUGGACUGCAAUAAUUACAUUAAUAUGUACUGUUUGUGACAGACGGAUAACUGUAGUGUUUCACGUUCAUUGAAUCUGAACAGAUUUGUUGUAGUUUUGUACAUUGAGUCUGAAAACUGCGUUUUGUGGAUUUUGUGGAACUCUUAAGGAAAUACAGAAGCCUAAAGGAAAUUAAUUCUUGUCAUCCAUAGGUACACCAAAAUGUCUUCAGUUCUUUCAGAACUAACUAUAUUUAUAUCUAUAGAUUCCUAAUAAAUACACUUAUUAGGAAAUUGGUUGACAUGCCCAUGCACAUUUGAAUUGCCUUCGUACUGCACAUGUAGUUGUAUGCACUUUACUCAUCUACUCUUAGUUGGAUAGGUCAUCUUUCAUUCUCUGUGCAGUGAAUAUCUUACAGGAAAAUACUUGCUGUCAG